GACGAACCGUGCGAACGUUGUUCGGAAUCACUGGGUUUAAAGGGCGCGUAGGCGGGCUGUCAAGUCGGUGGUGAAAUCUUUCGGCUCAACCGGAAAAUCGCCUUCGAUACUGGCGGCCUUGAGGGAGGUAGGGGCAUGCGGAACUUCCGGUGGAGCGGUGAAAUGCGUAGAUAUCGGAAGGAACACCGAUGGCGAAAGCAGCGUGCUGGACCUUUUCUGACGCUGAGGCGCGAAAGCGUGGGGAGCGAACAGG
rnacentral:rRNA from 1 species